CGCUUUCCAACAAAACUAUGCAGUGCGCCAUCAAAGUGCGCGAGGGAGUGAAAGGAAAGAAGAAAAGAAGAACUGAGGCUCUGCCAGCUUCUUUUUCGUCUCUGCAACAGUCUGAUGAUAUGAGUGUGUGUGUGUGGGUGCAUCUGAACCCUUGUUUACAGGCGCCUUCAGGCCUGGUGGGUGUGGCCCUGCUAGGGGACUGGCCACACCCGAAGCCACGCACCUGCUGCUGAUCAGGCCUCGUCGGGGGAGCUACUUAAGAGAGUCUUGGAGCUCUCACCGACGCGGGAUCAUUUCGUGAGACUUCCCGAGGAUUGCUGGAACAAGAGGGCAGCAGACACAGAGUGCACUGGCACGAGGGAGCGGACACACGAGCACAAACACUGGGAGAAGACACGGAGGGGAAGUCGGGAGCACACGGGGAUGAAUUGUUGUGUGUACAGUUUUCACUGUAAAUAAAGAGCACUGUUUGCAUCGCAGAGCACCGCGACUGGGUCCUCCUUUCCCCACAUCCCCACGGUCAGCCAGACCGUGACAUCUGUACCUGUUUGAUUUCACCCGGUCCUUAUAAUGGUGUGUAAUCAGUCAGUUUGCGUUUAGCUUUCCUUAAAUACAAUGCUACUACUGCACAUUCACCUAAUGUAUAUAAUAUAUAAUGUUCUUCCUCUCUCCCCCCCUUUUGCACAA